rnacentral:rRNA from 1 species
AUUGAACGCCGGCGGCAGGCCUAACACAUGCAAGUCGAACGGUAGCACAGAGAGCUUGCUCUCGGGUGACGAGUGGCGGACGGGUGAGUAACGUCUGGGAAACUGCCCGAUGGAGGGGGAUAACUACUGGAAACGGUAGCUAAUACCGCAUAACGUCGCAAGACCAAAGUGGGGACCUUCGGGCCUCACACCAUCGGAUGUGCCCAGAUGGGAUUAGCUAGUAGGUGGGGUAAUGGCUCACCUAGGCGACGAUCCCUAGCUGGUCUGAGAGGAUGACCAGCCACACUGGAACUGAGACACGGUCCAGACUCCUACGGGAGGCAGCAGUGGGGAAUAUUGCACAAUGGGCGCAAGCCUGAUGCAGCCAUGCCGCGUGUAUGAAGAAGGCCUUCGGGUUGUAAAGUACUUUCAGCGGGGAGGAAGGUGGUGAAGUUAAUAGCUUCACCGAUUGACGUUACCCGCAGAAGAAGCACCGGCUAACUCCGUGCCAGCCGCCGCAGUAA